rnacentral:rRNA from 1 species
UCUUGGUUCAGGAUGAACGCUGGCGGCGUGCCUAACACAUGCAAGUCGAGCGAUUCUCUUCGGAGAAGAGCGGCGGACGGGUGAGUAACGCGUGGGUAACCUGCCUCAUACACAUGGAUAACAUACCGAAAGGUAUGCUAAUACAGGAUAAUAUAAGAGAUUCACAUGGAUUUCUUAUCAAAGCUCCGGCGGUAUGAGAUGGACCCGCGUCUGAUUAGCUAGUUGGUAAGGUAACGGCUUACCAAGGCGACGAUCAGUAGCCGACCUGAGAGGGUGAUCGGCCACAUUGGAACUGAGACACGGUCCAAACUCCUACGGGAGGCAGCAGUGGGGAAUAUUGCACAAUGGGCGAAAGCCUGAUGCAGCAACGCCGCGUGAGUGAUGAAGGCCUUCGGGUCGUAAAACUCUGUCCUCAAGGAAGAUAAUGACGGUACUUGAGGAGGAAGCCCCGGCUAACUACGUGCCAGCCGCUGC